rnacentral:rRNA from 1 species
UGGCUCAGGAUGAACGCUAGCGGCAGGCUUAACACAUGCAAGUCGAGGGGCAGCGGAGAGUAGCAAUACUCUGCCGGCGACCGGCGAAAGGGUGCGUAACGCGUGAGCAACUUGCCCGUAUCCGGGACAUAAGCGGUGGAAACGCCGUCUAAUUUCCCAUAACAACGAGGGCCGCAUGACCCAUGUUUGAAAGAUCCGUCGGAUACGGAUGGGCUCGCGAGACAUUAGCUAGUCGGCGUGGUAACGGCACACCGAGGCGACGAUGUCUAGGGGUUCUGAGAGGAAGGUCCCCCACACUGGAACUGAGACACGGUCCAGACUCCUACGGGAGGCAGCAGUGAGGAAUAUUGGUCAAUGGGCGCAAGCCUGAACCAGCCAUGCCGCGUGAAGGAAUGAGGCCCUAAUGGGUCGUAAACUUCUUUUGUGGUGGAGCAAUAAGGUGCACGUGUGCAUCGAUGAGAGUACAUCACGAAUAAGCAUCGGCUAACUCCGUGCCAGCCGCCGC